rnacentral:tRNA from 2 species
GUCCUCAUAGUUCAACGGAUAGAAUAAGCCCCUCCUAAGGGCUAGAUGUAGGUUCGAUUCCUGCUGGGGAUACCA